GCGGAGGAAAAGAAACCAACAGGGAUUGCCCUAGUAACGGCGAGUGAAGCGGCAACAGCUCAAAUUUGAAAUCUGGCGUCUUUGGCGUCCGAGUUGUAAUUUGCAGAGGGCGCUUUGGCAUUGGCAGCGGUCCAAGUUCCUUGGAACAGGACGUCACAGAGGGUGAGAAUCCCGUACGUGGUCGCUAGCCUUUACCGUGUAAAGCCCCUUCGACGAGUCGAGUUGUUUGGGAAUGCAGCUCUAAAUGGGAGGUAAAUUUCUUCUAAAGCUAAAUACUGGCCAGAGACCGAUAGCGCACAAGUAGAGUGAUCGAAAGAUGAAAAGCACUUUGGAAAGAGAGUUAAAAAGCACGUGAAAUUGUUGAAAGGGAAGCGCUUGCAGCCAGACUUGCCUGUAGUUGCUCAUCCGGGUUUUUACCCGGUGCACUCUUCUAUAGGCAGGCCAGCAUCAGUUUGGGCGGUUGGAUAAAGGUCUCUGUCAUGUACCUCUCUUCGGGGAGAACUUAUAGGGGAGACGACAUGCAACCAGCCUGGACUGAGGUCCGCGCAUCUGCUAGGAUGCUGGCGUAAUGGCUGUAAGCGGCCCGUCUUGAAACACGGACCAAGGAGUCUAACAUCUAUGCGAGUGUUUGGGUGUCAAGCCCGAGCGCGUAAUGAAAGUGAACGGAGGUGGGAACCUUUCGGGGUGCACCAUCGACCGAUCCUGAUGUCUUCGGAUGGAUUUGAGUAAGAGCAUAGCUGUUGGGACCCGAAAGAUGGUGAACUAUGCUUGAAUAGGGUGAAGCCAGAGGAAACUCUGGUGGAGGCUCGCAGCGGUUCUGACGUGCAAAUCGAUCGUCAAAU
rnacentral:sRNA from 1 species